GCUUGUCUCAAAGAUUAAGCCAUGCAUGUUCAAACAUAAGUAUUAUAAAGCGAAGUUGCGAAUGGCUCAUUAUAUCAGUUAUAAUAUACUAGAUAGUUACUCUACUUGGAUAACCGUAGUAAUUCUAGAGCUAAUACAUGCGUAAAGGGUGCUGAAAGGCAUCUGUGUUUAUUAGAUACAACCAACCCCUCGCGGGUUUAGGUGAUUCAUAAUAACCGAACGAACCGCGUUCAGCGGUGAUUCUUUCUACAUUAUUCCCUAUCAGCUUUCGUUUUUUGUGUAGUGGACAAAAAAGGCUUUGACGGGUAACGGAGAAUUAGGGUUCGAUUCCGGAGAGGGAGCCUGAGAGAUGGCUACCACAUCCAAGGAAGGCAGCAGG
rnacentral:rRNA from 1 species